ACUUGACCCCCUCCCCGUCCUUGAUCAUCAGCCAGUUGCUCAAGGCCGUGCACCUCAGACCGGGACGAUGCAACCCUCACUCGGAGCUUCAGAAAAGCCGGCCCCAUGGGUGUCCCUGGAUAUUAGGAGGGUGCACCCUGGGUGGGUGGAGAGGCUUCUUACAGCCCCACCCAGCAGCCUGCAGCCCUGUCUCCCCACAGGACCCAGGUCUUCAGCAACCAGAAAGCUUCACACCGGCCCCAUCCAAGGCAGUUCACCCGCCUCUGUCCUGAGCAAGUCCCGCUCCAGAGGAUCCCUCUGAGGAAGGAACCCAGGCUUCACCCCUCAACAGGUUUCCGAGCUUCCGCUGAGUGCCAGGCCUGGCUGCCAUCCAGGAGCAUGUGCCAGGGGUGCUAGAGUGGGGGCUUUGGAGCCCACAGCCUGGGCUGAGCCCCGCUAGCCACCCCACUGUGCUGCCAAGGCCAUCUCUGAACAUCCCUACGCCUCUGUUUGCUGGUCUGUAAAAUAUGAGAACCCAGUGCUUUGAGGCCUGUCCAGCCUCUCGUGAGCCCAAGAGAAAUGUCUGUCGAUUCUACUGCCACCAACGCCACACAUCCAAGUCCACAGUGCAAUUCUUAGCCACAGACCAAGGCAUCUGAGAGUGUUUUCUUUGAUUUCUGACUCCGGCCUCCAUGGCUGGUGAUGGAAGGACAUUCCCUCUGGACCAUGACUGAACCAGCCCCUCUUGAGUCUGGGUGUGAGUCGCAGAUCCCUGGUCAGCACCCUGGAAUCCGGCUGCACCGGGCCCCUCCCAGCCCACACAGUGCGUUCACCUCAGGCUCCCGCACGUGCCCAGCAGGCCUGGGUCCAGGUAUCCCUUGAGACUGGGAGCCCCAGGGGCUGGACCCACCUCUCCUAGAGCACCUCCAGCCCCCACUUGGGGACUUACCUCCUCCCAAAUUAUCUCCAGCCCAGGAUCUGCACAGGGCCCUCUCUCCCCACCUCCAGGACGUGAUUAGCAACUUCAGUUCCUCAGCUGGAGAAACAAGAACAGAAAGGGAAGUGGCCUGUCCACAAAUUCCACUUUCAGCCCCAGGACAUAAACUUCCCCCAGAACAAGGAAGAACCAGGAGGAAAAGCACAGAUUCAUCUCACGGACAUGACCUCACCGUGGACGUGUUCCCGGGGAAUCCUCGUAAUAAUGUAGGAAGGUGCUCCCACUCUGCAGAUGAGCCACCAAGGCUCCGAGGGGCUAUGUGGCCGUUCAGGACCACAGGAAAGCUGCAAAGCCAGAAGGUGACUCCCAGCACCACCCUCCCACGCCACACGCUCCGCCUCACUGGACCAGGGCUGGCUCAGGUGUCCUCAGCCCCACACUGGCUCCCCCAACCCUGGCCCCAUCCCCACGCAGACCCCUUUGCUGCAUAAGGGUUCAGAGAGAUUGCGGACCCUUAGAAUGCUCACUUCUUCCCAGAGAGCCUGCUCUCAGCAUCCAGGGGAUUGGAGUGGCUCUAGAUUCCUCCUUAUUAGCCCCUUCUCGAGGAGUCCGGGAAAUGUGGCCUCAUCUGAGGUCUCCAUGGAAACUGGGCCCAGCUCGUCCCCACUCUAGUAGCUGCUGUGGCAGCAGGUAUAUGGCCUGAUGGCCCAGGAUGCUGGUGGGGUAUCCCCUUGGCCCCAGAUGUGCCAGCUUGGCCUCCAGUUCUGUGGUCCUUGAGCCCUCAGGACAUUAGGACCAUGUGGGCUGGCCUCCAAACUGGAGGCUGAGCUUCCGUCCAGGCUCCCACCUGCCCCUGCCCAGCCUGCGCCUCCUCUGACCUCCCCCGCUGCACCUCCUCUUCUGCCCCCAGAGC
rnacentral:lncRNA from 10 species